GACGAACGCUGGCGGCGUGCUUAACACAUGCAAGUCGAACGGAAAGGCCCUGCUUUUGUGGGGUGCUCGAGUGGCGAAAGGGUGAGUAACACGUGAGUAACCUGCCCUUGACUUUGGGAUAACUUCAGGAAACUGGGGCUAAUACCGGAUAGGAGCUCCUGCUGCAUGGUGGGGGUUGGAAAGUUUCGGCGGUUGGGGAUGGACUCGCGGCUUAUCAGCUUGUUGGUGGGGUAGUGGCUUACCAAGGCUUUGACGGGUAGCCGGCCUGGGAGGGUGACCGGCCACAUUGGGACUGAGGUACGGCCCAGACUCCUACGGGAGGCAGCAGUGGGGAAUAUUGCACAAUGGGCGGAAGCCUGAUGCAGCAACGCCGCGUGCGGGAUGACGGCCUUCGGGUUGUAAACCGCUUUCGCCUGUGACGAAGCGUGAGUGACGGUAAUGGGUAAAGAAGCACCGGCUAACUACGUG
rnacentral:rRNA from 1 species